ensembl:lncRNA
GAUGAUCAGAGUCCAGCUCACCAGGGAAGAGGAGACACAACGCGUUCUGAUGCAUAUCAUCACCAUUCUUUAUACUCUUCUCACUGAGAACUGAAGGUGCUUUUGCCUCCAAAUAUGACUUAAAAGACUCAGUGCCGCAUGUCUCCCUCUUUGUUCACCUUCAAGAGUUUAAUGCCAGCAUAGAAAAAGAUUUCUCUUCCAUGAAGUACAAUCAGAGUAUGCAUUCUUAUGGGUCUUCAUUUUUUCCUGGCAAAGUUUCGGCACUUGGAAAAGCAGCUGGGGCCAAGAAUAUACAUGGAAAAAGGUGAAUUUUAAACAGCCUACAGGUUUGCUGAAUACUAAGAGGAAAAUUUGGAAGUCCAGCCAGUUAGGCAUAAAGUGAUCAAAUUAAACCUCAGAUGUGUUUCUUCUUGCCGCUUUACUCUUCAGCUGUUGUUUGUUUGUUCUAAUGAUUUUCUGUUGAUAAUUUGGUAAAAAGAAAUGCUUCUGCAACUGUCUUAUUGGAAGGCCUUUUUACACAUUCUUAUUAGAGCAUUUAUAUUCUUUGAAGAGAUCGUGGUAGUCCCAUCUACUGAAGGGUAAUGCUCAAAGAAAACAAUGGAAAACACAAUUGGAAAACACAGUUCUACAGACACUAUAAAGAGACUUCUCUUUAUUUAUCUGAAUAGGAUUUGGUCUACAAGAUCCUGGAGGAUAAUUUUAUGACUUCUCGAUUUAGCCUUAGCAUUCUGCCUAAGCAUAGCAGACUGUGAUUAACAGCUCAGUUACAUCUGUGCUAGCAGACAAAGGCUCUUCUCCUGCUUCUGACGUAGACACCGAGAAUUUUGCCAUGAAUUCAUAUUACUGUAAUUCAGAUGUGAAAUAAAUGUGAAG